rnacentral:rRNA from 1 species
CCUCCCGCAAAUACCAACGUAUAGGAGGUCCCGCCUGCCCAGUGACAUGUUUUAAACGGCCGCGGUAUUCUGACCGUGCAAAGGUAGCGCAAUCACUUGUCUUUUAAAUAAAGACCUGUAUGAAUGGUAGAACGAGGGCUUAACUGUCUCCCUUUUUAAGUCAAUGAAAUUGAUCUGCCCGUGCAGAAGCGGACAUAAUAAUACAAGACGAGAAGACCCUUUGGAGCUUAAGACCUCAGAUCAACUAUGUCAAGAACUAAAUUAAGUUAAACUAAUUAUGCCUGAUCCUAGUCUUUAGUUGGGGCGACCACGGGAGAAAAUAAAGCUCCCACGAGGACUGGACCCACCUCCUCUAGAACCAAGAGAGACAUCUCUAAGUCACAGAACCUCUGACCAUAAGACCCGGCCCCCCGGCCGAUUAACGGACCAAGUUACCCCAGGGAUAACAGCGCAAUCCCCUUUCAGAGCCCAUAUCGACAAGGGGGUUUACGACCUCGAUGUUGGAUCAGGACAUCCUAAUGGUGCAGCCGCUAUUAAGGGUUCGUUUGUUCAACGAUUAAAGUC